rnacentral:rRNA from 1 species
ACUCAAAGGAAUAGACGGGGACCCGCACAAGCGGUGGAGCAUGGGGUUUAAUUCGAUGCUACGCGAAGAACCUUACCGAGGUUUGACAUCCUAGGAAUCCGGCGGAAACGUUGGAGUGCCUUCGGGAACCUAGUGACAGGUGCUGCAUGGCCGUCGUCAGCUCGUGUUGUGAAAUGUUGGGUUAAGUCCCGCAACGAGCGCAACCCUUAUCGUAUGUUGAAUUUUUCAUACGAGACUGCCCGGGCCAACCGGGAGGAAGGUGGGGAUGACGUCAGGUCAGCAUGGCCCUUACACCUCGGGCCACACCCGUGCUACAAUGGCCGAUACAACGCGCUGCGAACCCGCGAGGGGGAGCUAAUCGCAUCAAAAUCGGUCUCAGUUCGGAUUGCAGGCUGAAACUCGCCUGCAUGAAGCUGGAAUCGCUAGUAAACGUGGGUCAGCAUACCACGUUGAAUACGUUCCCGGGUCUUGCACACACCGCCCGU